rnacentral:tRNA from 3 species
GUUAGCUCAGUUGGUAGAGCAGUUGACUUUUAAUCAAUUGGUCGCAGGUUCGAGUCCCGCAC